UGGAUGCAAGCAAUCUUCCCUCCUCACCCUCUCAAAGUGCUGGAUUACAGGUGUGAGCCACUGCACCUGGCCAACUUUCUUAAGCUAUUUUUGUAAAGACUUAAAAAGAUUUUUGCAUU